rnacentral:rRNA from 1 species
AAACAACGAUGAUAAUAUACACACAUCUUCCGCCAGGGGACUACGAGCAUCAGCUUAAAACCCAAAGGACUUGGCGGUGCCUCAAACCCACCUAGAGGAGCCUGUUCUAUAACCGAUGAUCCUCGUUAAACCUCGCCACUUCUUGCCAUUCCCGCCUAUAUACCGCCGUCGCCAGCUUACCUCAUGAGAGCUAUAACACUAAGCCAAACGGGAUCCCCCCCAAAAACGUCAGGUCGAGGUGUAGCGAAUGAAGUGGAAUGAAAUGGGCUACAUUUUCUGAUACCAGAACAUAACGAAAAGUGCCAUGAAAUAAUCACAAUUAAAGGUGGAUUUAGCAGUAAAAAGAAAACAGAGUGUCUU